rnacentral:sRNA from 1 species
ACACGUCCAGGAACGGUUGAUUUUGUGCCAUUUUGAUACAAAUCAACAUCAGACUCGGUCGUAGCGUAAAUAUAUCCGAUUCCGAAGCUUCUGCGGAAGACAAACUCAUCUUCGGUCUUGUAGGCGUAAAUUGGGCAAUCCGAGAGAGUACGAACG